AGAGCAAUACUUCAGAAAUCUCAACAAAGAUGAAGUGGCAGUCGAUGCAGAAACUAUUAAUCAUCUGGAUGACGAAUAAAAACCAUAGGCACAAAAAAAUUCCACAGUUUGAAAAUUGGAUAAUGUAUGUCACUUAAGGUAAUUAGAAGCUGCCAGAGAAAAUCUAAAAAAUGUGUCCAGGAUUGCCACAUCAUACUCGUAUAUCCGAUCCACACCAAUAUAAAGAUUAUUGUAAAAAACAAUAUGAUGCAAAUCAUUGCAGGUAUCAUCUAUAAUGACAUUAUAACAUUAUAUUAAAGGGCGGUAUUCAAAAACAUUAAAAAUAUCAUAUUAUGUUUGUUGAUUAAUGUUAAACAGGCAUAAAGUGAUAUUUCUAACGAUAUAUUUCUAUCUCUAAUCUUUAAAUGUAAAAAAAAUUUUAAACAAUAAAAAUUAAACAUUUAUAACUUUGUGACAAAA